CCUACGGGGGGCUGCAGUGGGGAAUAUUGGACAAUGGGCGAAAGCCUGAUCCAGCAAUGCCGCGUGAGUGAUGAAGGCCUUAGGGUUGUAAAGCUCUUUUACCAGGGAUGAUAAUGACAGUACCUGGAGAAUAAGCUCCGGCUAACUCCGUGCCAGCAGCCGCGGUAAUACGGAGGGAGCUAGCGUUGUUCGGAAUUACUGGGCGUAAAGCGUACGUAGGCGGUGACUCAAGUCAGAGGUGAAAGCCUGGAGCUCAACUCCAGAACUGCCUUUGAAACUAGGUCGCUAGAAUCACGGAGAGGUGAGUGGAAUUCCGAGUGUAGAGGUGAAAUUCGUAGAUAUUCGGAAGAACACCAGUGGCGAAGGCGGCUCACUGGACGUGUAUUGACGCUGAGGUACGAAAGCGUGGGGAGCAAACAGGAUUAGAUACCCCAGUAGUC
rnacentral:rRNA from 1 species